CCUGCCCCCACUAGUCAUUAAGAAAAUGUGGGUAUUUCUACCCUUUGCACUCUCCUUUUAUGUAGUUCACAGGAACGUGGAUAAGACGUUGGACUCUAUUCUGUGCUUCUUGAAAACUCCAUGUUCCUUUUGAAAUCAGAUUGUUUAACCACAUGUUCUGAAAACCCAAGUAAUGCAAGCAUGGGUUCUGGUGGAUAAGUAAAUGGCAACACCUACAUUAUCUUGUAUCUUGGUAUCCUGAAGCGGGUACACUGUUUAUGCACAGUUAGUUGUAUAGAAUUUUUAAGAAUAUGUAAUCUCAUCUUCAAAACAAGCCUCAGUGAGUUGGCAAACUGUAAAUUUUCAGUCUGUUACAUUUUUGUAGUUUAGAUUUUUGGAUACAGGACUCAAUUCCUAUAAGUAGCCUAUAAUUAUGUAAGUCUUGCUUCAUUAUGAAUAUGCAUACAAUUAGAAUUUAAAGGACUGGACCAUGGAAAAAUAAUGUAUUUUCAGAUCUUAAAUCAAAGCUGGCUGCAGAUUUAUUCAUUCUUGGUUUGCUCCUAAAAAUCUGUAUCAUCUUAUAUUUAGGCUAUCUGAAAUUAAGAGAUUAAGUAGAAUUCUAACAGAGGAUUGGCGCCAUCUAAAUGGAUAAUGUUCCUGCCAUUAACCUCCUACGCUCGAUACAAGGGUACACUCAAUGUGAGAGAGUUCAGGCACAACAGUGCACAAAAGCAAAACCAGAUGAAACCACCACUGCCUAAAAGUACUGAUGCUUCUUUUAAAUUAGAAAUAAAGAGUUGUUGUAGAUUUGCACUGUUUGGUUUUUUCCAUCACUGGAAUGCAACGGGAAGGAAACUGGAAAUACUAGUUUUGUAAGUGAAAAAUGGGAAGUCGCACUUUAAAAUACUCUAAAUAGCAUGAUGAAAAUGCAAAUACUCUCAUGCUGAUCAAUGAAUGAGAAUGUUGCUGUGUUUUCAGUACAAAAGAAGGAGGUCAUUCCUUAAUUUCAAUGUUCUACUUCAGUUCUUUUGUCUUUAUUCACAGGAUAUACACAUUAAAUUUGCUAUAUACUAAAAUCUUAAUUCUUGACUUGAAUUAUACUGGUUUUGCCUGUGCAUGGGGGGUAUUUUCUAUACUUUGAAUAAUUCAAACUUGUUACUAUUUAACUUAAAGUACAUUCUUAUAUCUUAUGGGUUGGCUUGCAGCAGUAAUUAAAACCAAACAAAAACUAGAAUAUUAAUACAGUUUGUCAGUAAGCUUUUCUAACAAAAAAGUUCCUAUUUCAACCACAGGAAUAAAAGUAACAUGCUAAGCCCUCUCAUUACAGUUUUCUUUACAUAAAUGAACCCUUCUCAAGCUCCCAAAGUUGAAUAUAGUGAUACAUAUUAAUUUAUACUGCAAGGGAAUCAGCUGCCUGAAAAGUCAAGAAAUCUCUGCCUGAGGCAACAACUACAAUAAUAUUUAAGUAACAGGGAUGACGUUGCAUUCAGCACUGCUUGUUCAUUGUUGUUGCAUAACAUACAGAACCAUUGGCUCAGGCAACUGAAAACCAGAGAACGUGUUGGACUAGACUAAUGUAUUAGAUCCUCACUGUGUUAGGAUCCAAACUCUGCCCCCUUCCAGCCCACUAAGCUUGCAUUUACUUUAGCAAAAUAUAUACACAACCUACAAAGUGAGAAAUUUGGUUCUGUGGUAUUGAUAGCAACAACGAUCAACAAUUGCAUCUAACUAUCAGAACCGAGUCUGUUAAAUGCAGCAAUUUGUGAUUUUAUUCCAGGACUUCCAGUCUAUCACCAUAAAGACCCUCUACACUGCUUUUUAGUUUACUAACAAAAUGAACACAGAACCAUAUUUAAAGUGAUUCUCAAGUUGCAAACAA